UUUCAUGGUGACGGCUAUAUGACUUCACUGCUCUUCUACAUUUGACCUCUGACCUGCAUGGGUAGAAGAAGGCUUCCCUCCAUUCCACAUCUGAGCCUUGUUUCACCUUGGAGCAUUGUUAUCAGAUGAUCGGAGAUGGAUAAGGACCUCAGAACCUAAACCUAUGAUUUGCUCCUCUAAAAGACUUAAAUGUAAUAUAAUUCAAGCAAUCCAACAAUGGCUGUCUCACAGCUAGAAUCUACCAGUUGUUCAGUCUAGCGUGGUGAAGGUCUGAGCUUUCCAAAUCUUGUGGUGGAGUAUUGAUGAAUUCCCAGAGAGCUGCUGGCCUGAAGCCUAUGGUGGAGUCCUGAAGGAAUCAAAUUGAAUCCCAGCUCCAGCAACAAAAUAGGCCAACUUUCCAGAGCGAACGAGGGCAAGGAGGCAAAAAAGCAAAGAUUCCUUCUUCUGUAUCCUUUUAUGUCCCCUGACCCUAGAAAGUAUGGCCCAGAUUCAGGGUGGGUCUUCCUGCCUCAAAUAAUUUGAUUAAGAUAAUCCCUUAUGGGAGUGCAUAGAAGUCUCUUUUGAGUUAAUUCCAGUUGUGGAAGCUGACAACCAAGAUUAGCUACCUCUUUGACAACUAUGUGGUAUAUGUCCCUUUAAAAUAUUCCAAUUUCUUCACUUUAAAAGCCCGUUGCACUCCUCCACCAAGACUAUGCAAAAGGCACAGAAGGAUGCUCCUGUCACUCUCAGAUGGUACAAGAGCAAUGCUAGGAAGUUUGUACACACACACACACACACACACACACACACACACACACACACACACCAUAUAACACUCCUCUUCUGAGGACCCAAAACACCGUGUCACUCAGAUAUCUCCAGAAUAGCAUCCCAUGAAGAAAUAUUUUGCUAUCCAUGCCAUCAGGAGGUGCCAAGAUCAUUUCACUUGUCAGUAGAAGAAAGAAGAUAACAUUCAAGAGCUUAUUUUCAGUAUCAGUGCCUGCAAGCUUGAGACCAAGGAGUCUGAAAAUUCUCCAUAGGACUGGCCAAGGCCAAUGUCAUGAGAAGGUCUAAUCAGAGAAGGCACUGGUCCUACUGAUUCUUGAAUAUGAGUUUCUUCAUAAAGAAAAAAAAAAUCACCGUCUGACCUAAGAUCAACUAGAUAAUUCUAAGUUUAAAACAUUUCAAGGUGAAAUAAACAGAUGAAAUGGAGAAGAGAACUGAUCUCUGAGAUACUUAGAAAGCGGUUUAUUGUAUCGUGAGGGUGAGACUUAUUUGUGCCUGCUCUCUCAAUGGGAGGGGAAAUGAAAGACAAGAAUUACCUUCUCUCACUGCGAUGUGUCAAGUGAAAUGUGCUAAAAGACACCGUAAAGAAUGUGAACGAUUAAAAAUAG